CCUACGGGCGGCAGCAGUGGGGAAUAUUGCACAAUGGGGGAAACCCUGAUGCAGCAACGCCGCGUGAGUGAAGAAGUAUUUCGGUAUGUAAAGCUCUAUCAGCAGGGAAGAAGAAAGACGGUACCUGACUAAGAAGCCCCGGCUAACUACGUGCCAGCAGCCGCGGUAAUACGUAGGGGGCAAGCGUUAUCCGGAAUUACUGGGUGUAAAGGGAGCGUAGACGGUGAUGUAAGUCUGGAGUGAAAGGCGGGGGUCCAACCCCCCGACUGCUCUGGAAACUAUGUGACUGGAGUGCAGGAGAGGUGAGCGGAAUUCCUAGUGUAGCGGUGAAAUGCGUAGAUAUUAGGAGGAACACCAGUGGCGAAAGCGGCUCUCUGGUCUGUAACUGACGCUGAGGUUCGAAAGCGUGGGUAGCAAACAGGAUUAGAUACCCCAGUAGUC
rnacentral:rRNA from 1 species